rnacentral:rRNA from 1 species
AUUGAACGCUGGCGGCAUGCUUUACACAUGCAAGUCGAACGGUAACAGGCCGCAAGGUGCUGACGAGUGGCGAACGGGUGAGUAAUGCAUCGGAACGUGCCCAGUCGUGGGGGAUAACGCAGCGAAAGUUGCGCUAAUACCGCAUACGAUCUAUGGAUGAAAGCGGGGGACCGUAAGGCCUCGCGCGAUUGGAGCGGCCGAUGUCAGAUUAGGUAGUUGGUGGGGUAAAGGCUCACCAAGCCGACGAUCU